UGGCUCAGUGGCAGAGCGCUUGCCUUGCAUGCAUGAGGCCCUGAGUUCGAUUCCUCAG
rnacentral:tRNA from 1 species